rnacentral:rRNA from 1 species
CCUACGGGAGGCAGCAGUGGGGAAUAUUGGGCAAUGGGCGCAAGCCUGACCCAGCAACGCCGCGUGAAGGAAGAAGGCUUUCGGGUUGUAAACUUCUUUUAAGAGGGAAGAGCAGAAGACGGUACCUCUUGAAUAAGCCACGGCUAACUACGUGCCAGCAGCCGCGGGAAUACGUAGGUGGCAAGCGUUGUACGGCUUUAGUGGGUGUAAAGGGCGUGGAGCCGGGGUGACAAGUCAGAUUGGAAAUCCGGGGGCUCAACCCCCGAACUGCAUUUGAAACUGUUGGUCUUGAGUAUCGGAGCGGCCGGCGGAAUUCCUAGUGUAGCGGUGAAAUGCGUAGAUAUUAGGAGGAACACCAGUGGCGAAGGCGGCCUGCCGGACGACAACUGACGGUGAGGCGCGAAAGCGUGGGGAGCAAACAGGAUUAGAUACCCGAGUAGUC